rnacentral:rRNA from 1 species
UACGAAGGGGGCUAGCGUUGCUCGGAAUCACUGGGCGUAAAGGGUGCGUAGGCGGGUCUUUUAAGUCAGGGGUGAAAUCCUGGAGCUCAACUCCAGAACUGCCUUUGAUACUGGAGAGCUCGAGUCCGGGAGAGGUGAGUGGAACUGCGAGUGUAGAGGUGAAAUUCGUAGAUAUUCGCAAGAACACCAGUGGCGAAGGCGGCUCACUGGCCCGGUACUGACGCUGAGGUGCGAAAGCGUGGGGAGCAAACAGG